rnacentral:rRNA from 1 species
GACGAACGCUGGCGGCGUGCUUAACACAUGCAAGUCGAACGGAAAGGCCCUGCUUUUGUGGGGUGCUCGAGUGGCGAACGGGUGAGUAACACGUGAGUAACCUGCCCUUGACUUUGGGAUAACUUCAGGAAACUGGGGCUAAUACCGGAUAGGAGCUCCUGCUGCAUGGUGGGGGUUGGAAAGUUUCGGCGGUUGGGGAUGGACUCGCGGCUUAUCAGCUUGUUGGUGGGGUAGUGGCUUACCAAGGCUUUGACGGGUAGCCGGCCUGAGAGGGUGACCGGCCACAUUGGGACUGAGAUACGGCGCAGACUCCUACGGGAGGCAGCAGGGGGGAAGAUUGCACAAUGGGCGGGAGCCUGAUGCAGCAACGCCGCGUGCGGGAGGACGGCCUUCGGGUUGUAAACCGCUUUCGCCUGUGACGAAGCGUGAGUGACGGUAAUGGGUGAAGAAGCACCGGCUAACUACGUG